rnacentral:misc_RNA from 1 species
AAGUCGUAACAAGGUUUCCGUAGGUGAACCUGCGGAAGGAUCAUUAUCGAAUUAUAAGCGAGGGUUGUCGCUGGCCUCUUUCGAGGCAUGUGCACGCCCGAGCUCUUAAAUCCACAACACACCUGUGAACCCACCGUAGGCCUUCGGGCUUAUGUAUCAUAUACUCUGAAUGUGUCAUAGAAUGUUCAUGUUGUCUUAAAACGCAAUCAAAUACAA